rnacentral:misc_RNA from 1 species
AAGUCGUAACAAGGUUUCCGUAGGUGAACCUGCGGAAGGAUCAUUACACGUAUCCAACGUUAAACAACCCUGUGAACCUUAAGUCCCCUCUUGCAGCCCAUUGGAACAGCAAUCCCGGUAAAUCAUUGCCAAACAGUUUUGAUUCGGGACCAGAGGCAGGCUUCCCCAAGCAGUUAGUGAAUGACAGUGUCACUGACCGUGUAAGGAUAACGCCACGGUUGCUAGAGACCGGCAGACAUGUCACAGGGUCACCACGCCCCUUAAUCACUCCACUUGAAAAUGCCCCGCCCAGUGGUAACGCGCUAGGUAAAAAAAACCGAACAACUGUUAACAAUGGAUAUCUUGGUUCUC